UACAGAGGUCCCAAGCGUUGUUCGGAUUCAUUGGGCGUAAAGAGCGUGUAGGCGGCCUGGCAAGUCCGCUGUGAAAACUCGAGGCUUAACCUCGAGACGUCGGUGGAAACUGCCUGGCUAGAGUCCGGAAGAGGAGAGUGGAAUUCCUGGUGUAGCGGUGAAAUGCGCAGAUAUCAGGAAGAACACCCGUGGCUAAGGCGGCUCUCUAGUACGGUACUGACGCUGAGACGCGAAAGCGUGGGGAGCGAACAGG
rnacentral:rRNA from 1 species